rnacentral:rRNA from 1 species
UACAGAGGGUGCAAGCGUUAAUCGGAAUUACUGGGCGUAAAGCGCGCGUAGGUGGUUUGUUAAGUUGAAUGUGAAAUCCCCGGGCUCAACCUGGGAACUGCAUCCAAAACUGGCAAGCUAGAGUAUGGUAGAGGGUGGUGGAAUUUCCUGUGUAGCGGUGAAAUGCGUAGAUAUAGGAAGGAACACCAGUGGCGAAGGCGACCACCUGGACUGAUACUGACACUGGAGGUGCGAAAGCGUGGGGAGCAAACAGGA